GUUGUAAACUAUUCAUGGGGGUGUUAACUGAAAUUAAUAUUUAUGUCUGUUUCUCUCCAGCACGUAUACCAUUUUCAACCAAAUGUCAGUGUGCUGUGGAAGGACAGAAGAAACCAUAUGCAUUAGGAAUGAUUAACAUGAAGUUCAUGUUUGGGAGGAAGAUUAUAAGUGGUCUCCUGGGAUAAUGUAAACAUGCAGAGAAGUUGCUCUGAAUAGAAGCUUGAGAUAAACUAUCAAUGUGUGCAUUAAUGUUGUCGUGCAGCAGUUGUAGCAGCAGCUCCAAGUUUUGAAAUAAGAAAAUAUUUGUAAACACGCACUCUCCUUCAAUCCAGAAAAACCUCCCCACACCUCCCUCAAGCAGAGACUGCACGCUGGCAGCUGAAUGAGGCCAAGAGAAAAUGAUCCCUUUCUGGGACAGCCACACUCAGUGACCACAUUGCCUCAAGAAUGUGUAUGGACCAGGAGGAGGUGAUGGAGGCCUUUUGAAGUCUCAGCAAUACCAUAUAUCCGUGGAUGGUAAGGACCAUGGAAGGUCUAUUGAAUAUCUUGACCAUUAGCCUAUAACUGGGUCAUUUUUAUGGUAAAAAAUUCAUCACUGUCAGGCUGAAUUGGUCCAGAAAGCCAAAAUCAGGACACAUUAGCUUCAAGGGCUGCAAUGUGGCCUUCCUCACUGGAAGAUAAAGGUCGAAACUCUUGGCUAGAGUCAUGAGUGGGGCAGGCAGCAGUGGCUCAUGCAUCAGAAACAGAGCCCUUUCCUCUGCGCCCUGUCCAUGAUGGUGAACGUGUUGCCGUAUCUGGGAAGAUGAUGGAUCCAGGCAACAACAGUGGCAAUCUGGACACUGCAGACUAAUCACAGACUCAAUUCCAGACAGUCUCAGCAGAGCACAGGCCCUUACUG
ensembl:lncRNA